rnacentral:rRNA from 1 species
UUGAACGCUGGCGGCAGGCCUAACACAUGCAAGUCGAGCGGAUGAAGGGAGCUUGCUCCUGGAUUCAGCGGCGGACGGGUGAGUAAUGCCUAGGAAUCUGCCUGGUAGUGGGGGAUAACGUCCGGAAACGGGCGCUAAUACCGCAUACGUCCUGAGGGAGAAAGUGGGGGAUCUUCGGACCUCACGCUAUCAGAUGAGCCUAGGUCGGAUUAGCUAGUUGGUGGGGUAAAGGCCUACCAAGGCGACGAUCCGUAACUGGUCUGAGAGGAUGAUCAGUCACACUGGAACUGAGACACGGUCCAGACUCCUACGGGAGGCAGCAGUGGGGAAUAUUGGACAAUGGGCGAAAGCCUGAUCCAGCCAUGCCGCGUGUGUGAAGAAGGUCUUCGGAUUGUAAAGCACUUUAAGCUGGGAGGAAGGGCAGUAAGUUAAUACCUUGCUGUUUUGACGUUACCAACAGAAUAAGCACCGGCUAACUUCGU